AAUUCGCCCUUGGGGAAUUUUCCGCAAUGGGCGAAAGCCUGACGGAGCAAUACCGCGUGAGGGAAGAAGGUCUGUGGAUUGUAAACCUCUUUUGUUAGGGAAGAUAAUGACGGUACCUAACGAAUAAGCAUCGGCUAACUCCGUGCCAGCAGCCGCGGUAAGACGGAGGAUGCAAGCGUUAUCCGGAAUUAUUGGGCGUAAAGCGUACGUAGGCGGUUUUAUAAGUCUGUUGUCAAAGCCCGAGGCUUAACCUUGGAAAGGCAAUGGAAACUGUAAGACUAGAGAGAGAUAGGGGCAGGAGGAAUUCCAGGUGUAGCGGUGAAAUGCGUAGAUAUCUGGAAGAACACCAGUGGCGAAAGCGUCCUGCUGGAUCUCAACUGACGCUGAAGUACGAAAGCUAGGGGAGCGAAUGGGAUUAGAUACCCCAGUAGUCCUAGCCGUAAACGAUGGGUACUAGGUGUUGGCCGUAUCGACCCGGUCAGUGCCGUAGCUAACGCGUUAAGUACCCCGCCUGGGGAGUACGGACGCAAGAUUGAAACUCAAAGGAAUUGACGGGGGCCCGCACAAGCGGUGGAGUAUGUGGUUUAAUUCGAUGCAACGCGAAGAACCUUACCAAGGCUUGACAUGUCGCGAAUCCUCCUGAAAGGGAGGAGUGCCUUCGGGAGCGCGAA
rnacentral:rRNA from 1 species